UACGUAGGGCGCAAGCGUUAUCCGGAAUUAUUGGGCGUAAAGAGCUCGUAGGCGGUUUGUCGCGUCUGCCGUGAAAGUCCGGGGCUCAACCCCGGACUUGCAGUGGGUACGGGCAGACUAGAGUGUGGUAGGGGAGACUGGAAUUCCUGGUGUAGCGGUGAAAUGCGCAGAUAUCAGGAGGAACACCGAUGGCGAAGGCAGGUCUCUGGGCCGGUACUGACGCUGAGAAGCGAAAGCAUGGGGAGCGAACAGG
rnacentral:rRNA from 1 species